GACGAACGCUGGCGGCGUGCUUAACACAUGCAAGUCGAACGCUGAAGCUCAGCUUUUGUUGAGUGGAUGAGUGGCGAACGGGUGAGUAACACGUGAGUAACCUGCCCCCUUCUUUGGGAUAACGCCCGGAAACGGGUGCUAAUACUGGAUAUUCACUGGUCUUCGCAUGGGGGUUGGUGGAAAGGGUUUUUCUGGUGGGGGAUGGGCUCGCGGCCUAUCAGCUUGUUGGUGGGGUGAUGGCCUACCAAGGCUUUGACGGGUAGCCGGCCUGAGAGGGUGACCGGUAACAUUGGGACUGAGAUACGGCCCAGACUCCUACGGGAGGCAGCAGUGGGGAAUAUUGCACAAUGGGCGCAAGCCUGAUGCAGCGACGCCGCGUGAGGGAUGGAGGCCUUCGGGUUGUGAACCUCUUUCGCUCAUGGUCAAGCCGCAACAAUGGUUGUGGUGAGGGUAGUGGGUAAAGAAGCGCCGGCUAACUACGUG
rnacentral:rRNA from 1 species